UGAGGAAUAUUGGUCAAUGGGCGGGAGCCUGAACCAGCCAAGCCGCGUGAAGGAAGAAGGCGCUAAGCGUCGUAAACAUCUUUUGUCGGGGAACAAAGGUCCGGACGUGUCCGGAUGAGAGUGUACCCGAAGAAAAGCAUCGGCUAACUCCGUGCCAGCAGCCGCGGUAAUACGGAGGAUGCGAGCGUUAUCCGGAUUUAUUGGGUUUAAAGGGUGCGUAGGCGGUCUGUUAAGUCAGCGGUAAAAGCCCGGGGCUCAACCCGGCGAGCCGUUGAACUGGCGGACUAGAGAGGGCGAGAAGUACGCGGAAUGCGCAGUGUAGCGGUGAAAUGCAUAGAUAUUGCGCAGAACUCCGAUUGCGAAGGCAGCGUACCGGCGCCUUUCUGACGCUGAGGCACGGAAGCGUGGGUAUCGAACAGGAUUAGAUACC
rnacentral:rRNA from 1 species